CCUACGGGUGGCAGCAGUGGGGAAUAUUGGGCAAUGGGCGCAAGCCUGACCCAGCAACGCCGCGUGAAGGAAGAAGGCUUUCGGGUUGUAAACUUCUUUUGUCAGGGACGAAACAAGUGACGGUACCUGACGAAUAAGCCACGGCUAAAUACGUACCAGCAGCAGCGGUAAUACGUAGGUGGCAAGCGUUAUGCGGAUUUACUGGGUGUACAGGGCGUGUAGGCGGGACUGCAAGUCAGAUGUGAAAAACACGGGGGCAACCUGUGGCCUGCCUUUGAAACUGUAGUUAUUGAGUACUGGAGAGGCAGACGGAAUUCGUAGUGUAGCGGUGAAAUGCGUAGAUAUUAGGAGGAACACCAGUGGCGAAGGCGGUCUGCUGGACAGCAACUGACGCUGAGGCGCGAAAGCGUGGGUAGCAAACAGGAUUAGAUACCCGGGUAGUC
rnacentral:rRNA from 1 species